rnacentral:rRNA from 1 species
UACGUAGGUGGCAAGCGUUGUCCGGAUUUAUUGGGUUUAAAGGGUAGGUAGGUGGUCUCAUUUGUCUCAUGUGAAAGCCUUGAGCUUAACUCAAGAAGUGCGUGAGAAACGGUGAGACUAGAGUACUGGAGAGGCUAGUGGAAUUCCCGGUGUAGCGGUGAAAUGCGUAGAGAUCGGGAGGAACACCAGAGGCGAAGGCGGCUAGCUGGACAGUAACUGACACUCAACUACGAAAGCGUGGGGAGCAAACAGG